AAAUUGAAGAGUUUGAUCAUGGCUCAGAUUGAACGCUGGCGGCAGGCCUAACACAUGCAAGUCGAACGGUAACAGGAAGCAGCUUGCUGCUUCGCUGACGAGUGGCGGACGGGUGAGUAAUGUCUGGGAAACUGCCUGAUGGAGGGGGAUAACUACUGGAAACGGUAGCUAAUACCGCAUAACGUCGCAAGACCAAAGAGGGGGACCUUCGGGCCUCUUGCCAUCGGAUGUGCCCAGAUGGGAUUAGCUUGUUGGUGGGGUAACGGCUCACCAAGGCGACGAUCCCUAGCUGGUCUGAGAGGAUGACCAGCCACACUGGAACUGAGACACGGUCCAGACUCCUACGGGAGGCAGCAGUGGGGAAUAUUGCACAAUGGGCGCAAGCCUGAUGCAGCCAUGCCGCGUGUAUGAAGAAGGCCUUCGGGUUGUAAAGUACUUUCAGCGGGGAGGAAGGGAGUAAAGUUAAUACCUUUGCUCAUUGACGUUACCCGCAGAAGAAGCACCGGCUAACUCCGUGCCAGCAGCCGCGGUAAUACGGAGGGUGCAAGCGUUAAUCGGAAUUACUGGGCGUAAAGCGCACGCAGGCGGUUUGUUAAGUCAGAUGUGAAAUCCCCGGGCUCAACCUGGGAACUGCAUCUGAUACUGGCAAGCUUGAGUCUCGUAGAGGGGGGUAGAAUUCCAGGUGUAGCGGUGAAAUGCGUAGAGAUCUGGAGGAAUACCGGUGGCGAAGGCGGCCCCCUGGACGAAGACUGACGCUCAGGUGCGAAAGCGUGGGGAGCAAACAGGAUUAGAUACCCUGGUAGUCCACGCCGUAAACGAUGUCGACUUGGAGGUUGUGCCCUUGAGGCGUGGCUUCCGGAGCUAACGCGUUAAGUCGACCGCCUGGGGAGUACGGCCGCAAGGUUAAAACUCAAAUGAAUUGACGGGGGCCCGCACAAGCGGUGGAGCAUGUGGUUUAAUUCGAUGCAACGCGAAGAACCUUACCUGGUCUUGACAUCCACGGAAGUUUUCAGAGAUGAGAAUGUGCCUUCGGGAACCGUGAGACAGGUGCUGCAUGGCUGUCGUCAGCUCGUGUUGUGAAAUGUUGGGUUAAGUCCCGCAACGAGCGCAACCCUUAUCCUUUGUUGCCAGCGGUCCGGCCGGGAACUCAAAGGAGACUGCCAGUGAUAAACUGGAGGAAGGUGGGGAUGACGUCAAGUCAUCAUGGCCCUUACGACCAGGGCUACACACGUGCUACAAUGGCGCAUACAAAGAGAAGCGACCUCGCGAGAGCAAGCGGACCUCAUAAAGUGCGUCGUAGUCCGGAUUGGAGUCUGCAACUCGACUCCAUGAAGUCGGAAUCGCUAGUAAUCGUGGAUCAGAAUGCCACGGUGAAUACGUUCCCGGGCCUUGUACACACCGCCCGUCACACCAUGGGAGUGGGUUGCAAAAGAAGUAGGUAGCUUAACCUUCGGGAGGGCGCUUACCACUUUGUGAUUCAUGACUGGGGUGAAGUCGUAACAAGGUAACCGUAGGGGAACCUGCGGUUGGAUCACCUCCUUACCUUAAAGAAG
rnacentral:rRNA from 1 species